rnacentral:rRNA from 1 species
ACGGCCAUACCACAUUGAAAACACCGGUUCUCGUCCGAUCACCGAAGUUAAGCAAUGUCGGGCCCGGUCAGUACUUGGGAGGGUGACCACCUGGGAACACCGGGUGUUGUAGGCU